rnacentral:misc_RNA from 1 species
AGUGUUUUCUUGGUGUUUGGAAACUGAAGAGGAGAGAAUAAAAGGCAAUGCGACAAUCCACAGAGAGUUUGAUAUGAUAAUUAAUCAUGGUGAUGAGUUAACCUUCUGUCCAAUUCCCUGCGUUUGUUCAUGGUGGUGAAUUGUUUGCUGCUUCUUUUCUUCUUCUUCCUUUUGUCCCAACUUUUCAGCCUUGAUUUUGAAUAAGCCUUGUGAAUUCCCAUGUACAUCUUAACUACUUAUGACUUGCUUAGAGAGUUAAAAAUGAAAAUGUGGUAAUACCAAACAAGGAAAAAGUGUAAUUUAACACCAAUGAUUUAUGGGAUCAUGGAAUUUUUU